rnacentral:rRNA from 1 species
CAGGACGAACGCUGGCGGCGUGCCUAAUACAUGCAAGUCGAACGCUUCUUUCCUCCCGAGUGCUUGCACUCAAUUGGAAAGAGGAGUGGCGGACGGGUGAGUAACACGUGGGUAACCUACCCAUCAGAGGGGGAUAACACUUGGAAACAGGUGCUAAUACCGCAUAACAGUUUAUGCCGCAUGGCAUAAGAGUGAAAGGCGCUUUCGGGUGUCGCUGAUGGAUGGACCCGCGGUGCAUUAGCUAGUUGGUGAGGUAACGGCUCACCAAGGCCACGAUGCAUAGCCGACCUGAGAGGGUGAUCGGCCACACUGGGACUGAGACACGGCCCAGACUCCUACGGGAGGCAGCAGUAGGGAAUCUUCGGCAAUGGACGAAAGUCUGACCGAGCAACGCCGCGUGAGUGAAGAAGGUUUUCGGAUCGUAAAACUCUGUUGUUAGAGAAGAACAAGGACGUUAGUAACUGAACGUCCCCUGACGGUAUCUAACCAGAAAGCCACGGCUAACUACGUGCC